UACGUAGGUGGCGAGCGUUGUCCGGAAUUACUGGGUGUAAAGCGCGUGUAGGCGGGAGGCUAAGUCUGUGGUGAAAUCGCUCGGCUUAACUGGGCGGGGUCCAUGGAAACUGGUCACCUGGAGGUCGGUAGAGGCAAGUGGAAUUCCCGGUGUAGUGGUGAAAUGCGUAGAGAUCGGGAGGAACACCAGUGGCGAAGGCGGCUUGCUGGGCCGGACCUGACGCUGAGACGCGAAGGCGUGGGGAGCGAACGGG
rnacentral:rRNA from 1 species